rnacentral:rRNA from 1 species
UACAGAGGUGGCAAGCGUUGUUCGGAAUUACUGGGCGUAAAGGGCGCGUAGGCGGUUCGUUAAGUCCUGUGUGAAAUCCCCCGGCUCAACUGGGGAACUGCACAGGAAACUAGCGGGCUUGAGUUCGGGAGAGGGAAGCGGAAUUCCGGGUGUAGCGGUGAAAUGCGUAGAUAUCCGGAGGAACACCGGUGGCGAAGGCGGCUUCCUGGACCGACAUGACGCUGAGGCGCGAAAGCUAGGGGAGCAAACGGG